GGCCCGCUGGUGCAGUGGUCAGUACCUUCGGGAGUCCCUACCAAGUAGAAAACGAAGUGUGCCGGUUCGAGUCCGGUGCGGGUCC